rnacentral:rRNA from 1 species
CAGUCGCCACGGGAAUACGUAGGGUCCGAGCGUUGUCCGGAAUUAUUGGGCGUAAAGGGCUCGUAGGCGGUUUGUUGCGUCGGGAGUGAAAACCGGGUGCUUAACACCUGGCUUGCUUUCGAUACGGGCAGACUUGAGGCAUGCAGGGGAGAACGGAAUUCCUGGUGUAGCGGUGAAAUGCGCAGAUAUCAGGAGGAACACCGGUGGCGAAGGCGGUUCUCUGGGCAUGUUCUGACGCUGAGGAGCGAAAGUGUGGGGAGCAAACAGGAUUAGAUACCCCCGUAGUCCCUGUCUCUUAUAC